AACGAACGCUGGCGGCAGGCUUAACACAUGCAAGUCGAGCGCCCCGCAAGGGGAGCGGCAGACGGGUGAGUAACGCGUGGGAAUCUACCCAUCUCUACGGAAUAACGCAUGGAAACGUGUGCUAAUACCGUAUACGUCCUUCGGGAGAAAGAUUUAUCGGAGAUGGAUGAGCCCGUGUUGGAUUAGCUAUUUGGUGGGGUAAAGGCCUACCAAGGCGACGAUCCAUAGCUGGUCUGAGAGGAUGAUCAGCCACACUGGGACCGAGACACGGCCCAGAGUCCUACGGGAGGCAGCAGGGUGGAGUAUUUGACAAUGGGCGCAAGCCUGAUCCAGCCAUGCCGCGUGAGUGAUGAAGGCCCUAGGGUUGUAAAGCUCUUUCACCGGUGAAGAUGAUGACGGUAACCGGAGAAGAAGCCCCGGCUAACUUCGUGCCAGCCGCCGCCGUAACAC
rnacentral:rRNA from 1 species